UACGAAGGGUGCAAACGUUGCUCGGAAUCAUUGGGCGUAAAGCGCACGUAGGCGCCUGUUAAGUCGGAUGUGAAAUCCCUCGGCUCAACCGAGGACGUGCAUCCGAAACUGGCGGGCUCGAGUACUGAAGAGGGUCGCGGAAUUCCCGGUGUAGAGGUGAAAUUCGUAGAUAUCGGGAGAACACCAGUGGCGAAGGCGGCGACCUGGGCAGAUACGUGACGCUGAGGUGCGAAAGCGUGGGGAGCAAACAGG
rnacentral:rRNA from 1 species